ensembl:snRNA U6 U6 spliceosomal RNA
GUGCUCACUUUGGCAGCAUGCAUAAUAAAAUUGGAACAAUAUAGAGAUUAGCAUGGCCCCUGUGCAAGGAUGACAUGGAAAUUUGUGAAGUGUUCCAUAAUUUU